rnacentral:tRNA from 1 species
GCCUCGGUAGCGCAGUAGGCAGAGCGUCAGUCUCAUAAUUUGAAGGUCGUGAGUUCGAUCCUCACUCGGGGCA